rnacentral:lncRNA from 1 species
GCGAAAACAGCGAGCCGCUUGAAAGGAUAUCCAAUAACAUUCGGAGUUGAGACCAUUCAAUCAACAUAUCACAGUGAGAGAAUCAUCUUCUAGCCAAGGGGCAGUACAAACUCCUGUUUAGGAAUAGCAUCCCCCUCUCAGGUUGCUAACAGUUCUGCACAGGGAAUGGAGCAUGGUUGGAGAUCUCUAAAGCUGGUACACAGUAUAUGACCAUCCUCAUCUCCUGGUCUUAGGAUGAACCUUUCACUGAUUAAUGGCCUACCUCUCGUACUACACUGUCAGAGUUGACUUUGAUUACUCC